rnacentral:rRNA from 1 species
GACGAACGCUGGCGGCGUGCUUACACAUGCAAGUCGAACGGAAAGGCCCUGCUUUUGUGGGGUGCUCGAGUGGCGAACGGGUGAGUAACACGUGAGUAACCUGCCCUUGACUUUGGGAUAACUUCAGGAAACUGGGGCUAAUACCGGAUAGGAGCUCCUGCUGCAUGGUGGGGGUUGGAAAGUUUCGGCGGUUGGGGAUGGACUCGCGGCUUAUCAGCUUGUUGGUGGGGUAGUGGCUUACCAAGGCUUUGACGGGUAGCCGGCCUGAGAGGGUGACCGGCCACAUUGGGACUGAGAUACGGCCCAGACUCCUACGGGAGGCAGCAGUGGGGAAUAUUGCACAAUGGGCGGAAGCCUGAUGCAGCAACGCCGCGUGCGGGAUGACGGCCUUCGGGUUGUAAACCGCUUUCGCCUGUGACGAAGCGUGAGUGACGGUAAUGGGUAAAGAAGCACCGGCUAACUACGUGCCAGCAGCCGCGGUGAUACGUAGGGUGCGAGCGUUGUCCGGAUUUAUUGGGCGUAAAGGGCUCGUAGGUGGUUGAUCGCGUCGGAAGUGUAAUCUUGGGGCUUAACCCUGAGCGUGCUUUCGAUACGGGUUGACUUGAGGAAGGUAGGGGAGAAUGGAAUUCCUGGUGGAGCGGUGGAAUGCGCAGAUAUCAGGAGGAACACCAGUGGCGAAGGCGGUUCUCUGGGCCUUUCCUGACGCUGAGGAGCGAAAGCGUGGGGAGCGAACAGGCUUAGAUACCCUGGUAGUCCACGCUGUAAACGGUGGGUACUAGGUGUGGGGUCCAUUCCACGGGUUCCGUGCCGUAGCUAACGCUUUAAGUACCCCGCCUGGGGAGUACGGCCGCAAGGCUAAAACUCAAAGGAAUUGACGGGGCCCCGCACAAGCGGCGGAGCAUGCGGAUUAAUUCGAUGCAACGCGUAGAACCUUACCUGGGUUUGACAUGGAUCGGGAGUGCUCAGAGAUGGGUGUGCCUCUUUUGGGGUCGGUUCACAGGUGGUGCAUGGCUGUCGUCAGCUCGUGUCGUGAGAUGUUGGGUUAAGUCCCGCAACGAGCGCAACCCUUGUUCACUGUUGCCAGCACGUUAUGGUGGGGACUCAGUGGAGACCGCCGGGGUCAACUCGGAGGAAGGUGGGGAUGACGUCAAGUCAUCAUGCCCCUUAUGUCCAGGGCUUCACGCAUGCUACAAUGGCUGGUACAGAGAGUGGCGAGCCUGUGAGGGUGAGCGAAUCUCGGAAAGCCGGUCUCAGUUCGGAUUGGGGUCUGCAACUCGACCUCAUGAAGUCGGAGUCGCUAGUAAUCGCAGAUCAGCAACGCUGCGGUGAAUACGUUCCCGGG